rnacentral:rRNA from 1 species
CCUACGGGUGGCUGCAGUGAGGAAUAUUGGUCAAUGGACGAGAGUCUGAACCAGCCAAGUAGCGUGAAGGAUGACUGCCCUAUGGGUUGUAAACUUCUUUUAUAUGGGAAUAAAAUGUUCCACGUGUGGGAUUUUGUAUGUACCAUAUGAAUAAGGAUCGGCUAACUCCGUGCCAGCAGCCGCGGUAAUACGGAGGAUCCGAGCGUUAUCCGGAUUGAUUGGGUUUAAAGGGAGCGUAGGUGGAUUGUUAAGUCAGUUGUGAAAGUUUGCGGCUCAACCGUAAAAUUGCAGUUGAAACUGGCAGUCUAGAGUACAGUAGAGGUGGGCGGAAUUCGUGGUGUAGCGGUGAAAUGCUUAGAUAUCACGAAGAACUCCGAUUGCGAAGGCAGCUCACUGGACUGCAACUGACACUGAUGCGCGAAAGCGUGGGGAGCAAACAGGAUUAGAUACCCGUGUAGUC